UGCAGUCGACGAUUAAGCACCUUCGGGUGUGUAUAGAGUGGCGAACGGGUGAGUAACACGUGACCAACCUGCCUCUUACAUUGGGACAACCAAAAGAAAUUCUGGCUAAUACCAAAUACUCCGCACAUAUCACAUGAUGUAUGCGGGAAAGCUUUUGCGGUAAGAGAUGGGGUCGCGGCCCAUUAGGUAGACGGCGGGGUAGAAGCCCACCGUGCCGAUGAUGGGUAGCCGGGUUGAGAGACCGACCGGCCACAUUGGGACUGAGAUACGGCCCAGACUCCUACGGGAGGCAGCAGUGGGGAAUAUUGCGCAAUGGGGGAAACCCUGACGCAGCAGCGCCGCGUGCGGGAUGAAGGCCUUCGGGUUGUAAACCGCUUUCAGCAGGGAAGACAUCGACGGUACCUGCAGAAGAAGCCCCGGCUAACUACGUGCCAGCAGCCGCGGUAAUACGUAGGGGGCGAGCGUUAUCCGGAUUCAUUGGGCGUAAAGCGCGCGCAGGCGGUUGCUCAAGCGGAACCUCUAAUCUCGGGGCUUAACCUCGAGCCGGGUUCCGAACUGGACGACUCGAGUGCGGUAGAGGCAGAUGGAAUUCCCGGUGUAGCGGUGGAAUGCGCAGAUAUCGGGAAGAACACCAACGGCGAAGGCAGUCUGCUGGGCCGUCACUGACGCUGAGGCGCGAAAGCUGGGGGAGCGAACAGGAUUAGAUACCCUGGUAGUCCCAGCCGUAAACGAUGAGCGCUGGGUGUGGGAGAUUACAUCUUCCGUGCCGAAGCUAACGCAUUAAGCGCUCCGCCUGGGGAGUACGGC
rnacentral:rRNA from 1 species